GGCUCAGAUUGAACGCUGGCGGAAUGCUUACACAUGCAAGUCGAACGGUAGAGGGGGCAACCCUCGAGAGUGGCGAACGGGUGAGUAAUAUAUCGGAACGUGCCCAGUCGUGGGGGAUAACGUAGCGAAAGCUACGCUAAUACCGCAUACGAUCUAUGGAUGAAAGCGGGGGAUCGCAAGACCUCGCGCGAUUGGAGCGGCCGAUAUCAGAUUAGGUUGUUGGUGAGGUAAAGGCUCACCAAGCCGACGAUCUGUAGCUGGUCUGAGAGGACGACCAGCCACACUGGGACUGAGACACGGCCCAGACUCCUACGGGAGGCAGCAGUGGGGAAUUUUGGACAAUGGGCGCAAGCCUGAUCCAGCAAUGCCGCGUGCAGGAUGAAGGCCUUCGGGUUGUAAACUGCUUUUGUACGGAACGAAACGGUGAGCUCUAAUACAGUUUGCUAAUGACGGUACCGUAAGAAUAAGCACCGGCUAACUACGUG
rnacentral:rRNA from 1 species